rnacentral:misc_RNA from 1 species
CGAAAAGGAGUUCUCGGACUCUUAAACCCUUUGUGAACCUUACCUAUCGUCAGUUGCUUCGGCGGGAGGCCCCUGGGAGGGGCCCCGGGGCCCGGCCUGAGCCGGGCUCCCGCCGGAGGAGCGCAAACCAAACUCUUGCUGUACCUCAGUGGAACAUCCGAGUUAAAACAAAAAACAAGUUA